rnacentral:rRNA from 1 species
GACCAACGCUGGCGGCGUGCCUAAUACAUGCAAGUUGAGCGCUGAAGGUUGGUACUUGUACCAACUGGAUGAGCAGCGAACGGGUGAGUAACGCGUGGGGAAUCUGCCUUUGAGCGGGGGACAACAUUUGGAAACGAAUGCUAAUACCGCAUAAAAACUUUAAACACAAGUUUUAAGUUUGAAAGAUGCAAUUGCAUCACUCAAAGAUGAUCCCGCGUUGUAUUAGCUAGUUGGUGAGGUAAAGGCUCACCAAGGCGAUGAUACAUAGCCGACCUGAGAGGGUGAUCGGCCACAUUGGGACUGAGACAGGGCCCAAACUACUACGGGAGGCAGCAGUAGGGAAUCUUCGGCAAUGGACGAAAGUCUGACCGAGCAACGCCGCGUGAGUGAAGAAGGUUUUCGGAUCGUAAAACUCUGUUGGUAGAGAAGAACGUUGGUGAGAGUGGAAAGCUCAUCAAGUGACGGUAACUACCCAGAAAGGGACGGCUAACUACGUG